GAACGAAGGCUUCGGCCUUAGUGGCGCACGGGUGCGUAACGCGUGGGAAUCUGCCCUUGGGUUCGGAAUAACAGUGAGAAAUUACUGCUAAUACCGGAUGAUGACUUCGGUCCAAAGAUUUAUCGCCCAAGGAUGAGCCCGCGUAAGAUUAGCUAGUUGGUGAGGUAAAGGCUCACCAAGGCGACGAUCUUUAGCUGGUCUGAGAGGAUGAUCAGCCACACUGGGACUGGGACACGGCCCAGACUCCUACGGGAGGCAGCAGUGGGGAAUAUUGGACAAUGGGCGAAAGCCUGAUCCAGCAAUGCCGCGUGAGUGAUGAAGGCCUUAGGGUUGUAAAGCUCUUUUACCAGGGAUGAUAAUGACAGUACCUGGAGAAUAAGCUCCGGCUAACUCCGUG
rnacentral:rRNA from 1 species